rnacentral:rRNA from 1 species
ACUCCUACGGGAGGCAGCAGUGGGGAAUAUUGCGCAAUGGGCGGAAGCCUGACGCAGCGACGCCGCGUGGGGGAUGACGGCCUUCGGGUUGUAAACCUCUUUCGACCGGGACGAAGCGUGAGUGACGGUACCGGUAGAAGAAGCACCGGCCAACUACGUGCCAGCAGCCGCGGUAAUACGUAGGGUGCGAGCGUUGUCCGGAAUUAUUGGGCGUAAAGAGCUCGUAGGCGGUGUGUCGCGUCGGUCGUGAAAACUUGGGGCUUAACUCUGAGCUUGCGGUCGAUACGGGCAUCACUGGAGUUCGGCAGGGGAGACUGGAAUUCCUGGUGUAGCGGUGAAAUGCGCAGAUAUCAGGAGGAACACCGGUGGCGAAGGCGGGUCUCUGGGCCGAUAUCGACGCUGAGGAGCGAAAGCGUGGGGAGCGAACAGGAUUAGAUACCCUGGUAG